GAACUUAAGCAUAUCAAUAAGCGGAGGAAAAGAAACCAACAGGGAUUGCCUUAGUAACUGCGAGUGAAGCGGCAAAAGCUCAAAUUUGAAAUCUGGCGUCUUUGGCGUCCGAAUUGUAAUUUGGAGAGGCAACUUCGAAGAUGGUGCUGUCCUAAGUUCCUUGGAACAGGAUGACAUAGAGGGUGAGAUCCCCGUGCCUGGAUGGCUGUCCAUCUUCAUGUGAAUUGCCUUCGAAGAGUCGAGUUGUUUGGGAAUGCAGCUCAAAAUGGGUGGUAAAUUUCAUCUAAAGCUAAAUAUUGGCGAGAGACCGAUAGCGCACAAGUAGAGUGAUCGAAAGAUGAAAAGCACUUUGAAAAGAGAGUUAAAAAGUACGUGAAAUUGUUGAAAGGGAAGCGCUUGAGACCAGACUCGAUUCGUGGUGAUCAGCUGUGCUUCUGUACGGUGCACUCGCCAUGGAUUGGGCCAGCAUCGGUUCUGACGGUGGGAUAAAAGGUUGAGGAAUGUGUCUUCCUUCGGGGAGUGUUAUAGCCUCACUCACAAUGCCACCAGCUGGGACCGAGGACCGCGCUUCGGCUAGGAUGCUGGCGUAAUGGUCUUAAGCGACCCGUCUUGAAACACGGACCAAGGAGUCUAACAUCUAUGCGAGUGUUCGGGUGGAAAACCCUUGCGCGUAAUGAAAGUGAACGGAGGUGGGAACCCGCAAGGGUGCACCAUCGACCGAUCCCGAUGUCUUCGGAAGGAUUUGAGUAAGAGCAUAGCUGUUGGGACCCGAAA
rnacentral:rRNA from 1 species